CUCCCCUUUCUUUCUUUCAGAAUGUGGCGUCAGCUCAGUGUCCUAUCAGCAAGGGGUCCUGUCUGCCACCAUCCUCUAUGAGAUCCUGCUGGGGAAGGCCACCCUGUAUGCUGUGCUGGUCAGUGCCCUCGUGCUGAUGGCCAGGGUCAAGAGAAAGGAUUCCUGAAGCCAGCUCAAAGGUGGAGCCAGAAGCUUCAGCCUGUUAUUGCUCCAACAUGGAUUCUCCUUUUUCCAUUCCUAGCCAGUGCCUCUGAAGAGCUAUUCUAGUCUCUCUACUCAUCCCAAUAGCUACCCCCUUAUGUGCUUGCACACCUGGACACUCAUGACCGAAACCUCCCCGACCCAAGGGGGACCCUAGUUUGCGUAUAUUGACUGAACCAAUAAAAAUGGCUUCUUCUGGCUUGAUUCUGCCUU